rnacentral:rRNA from 1 species
ACGGAAGGCAGCAGUGGGGGAUAUUGGACAAUGGGGGAAACCCUGAUCCAGCGACGCCGCGUGAGUGAAGAAGUAUUUCGGUAUGUAAAGCUCUAUCAGCAGGGAAGAUGAUGACGGUACCUGACUAAGAAGCCCCGGCUAACUACGUGCCAGCAGCCGCGGUAAUACGUAGGGGGCAAGCGUUAUCCGGAUUUACUGGGUGUAAAGGGAGCGUAGGCGGCGAUGCAAGUCAGAGGUGAAAACCCGGGGCUCAACUCCGAGGACUGCCUUUGAAACUGCGUUGCUGGAGUGCAGGAGAGGCAAGCGGAAUUCCUAGUGUAGCGGUGAAAUGCGUAGAUAUUAGGAAGAACACCGGUGGCGAAGGCGGCUUGCUGGACUGAGACUGACGCUGAGGCUCGAAAGCGUGGGGAGCAAACAGGAUUAGAUACCCUGGUA